CUACGGGUCGCAGCAGUGAGGAAUAUUGCACAAUGGAGGAAACUCUGAUGCAGCAACGCCGCGUGGAGGAUGACGCAUUUCGGUGUGUAAACUCCUUUUAUAUGUCAAGAAAAUGACGGUAGCAUAUGAAUAAGCACCGGCUAACUCCGUGCCAGCAGCCGCGGUAAUACGGAGGGUGCAAGCGUUACUCGGAAUCACUGGGCGGAAAGGACGCGUAGGCGGGAUAUCAAGUCAGGUGUGGAAUCCUACAGCUUAACUGUAGAACUGCACUUGAAACUGGUAACCUAGAGUAUGGGAGGGGGAGAUGGAAUUAGUGGUGUAGGGGUAAAAUCCGUAGAUAUCACUAGGAAUACCUAAAGCGAAGGCGAUCUCCUGGAACAUAACUGACGCUAAGGCGUGAAAGCGUGGGGAGCAAACAGGAUUAGAUACCCGUGUAGUC
rnacentral:rRNA from 1 species